GGUUCUGGGCGGGUGCUUCUGCCCGGUGCCCGACUCCCAUCAUGGCGGCGGGGGGAGGCGGAGGCGGCCGGGGGGGCAGUGGCCCCAGAUGGGGCGGGGGCCGGGCCGGCGGGGGCGCAGCGCAGGAGAAACUUCCGGUGCAUGUGGAGGAUGCACUCUCCUACCUGGACCAGGUGAAGAUUCGCUUUGGCAGUGAUCCCGCCACCUAUAACGGGUUCCUGGAGAUCAUGAAGGAAUUCAAGAGCCAGAGCAUUGAUACUCCUGGUGUAAUCAGGCGGGUUUCUCAGCUGUUUCAUGAACAUCCCGACCUCAUUGUAGGAUUCAAUGCUUUCCUCCCUUUGGGCUACAGAAUAGAGAUUCCAAAGAACGGGAAGUUAAGUAUACAGUCGCCACUGGCUAGUCAGGUGUCUUCAGAGCCUGUUCCAAGUGCUCACCCGGGUGGUGGGUUAUUGUUACAUUAUUGCCAGGAGAAUUCCCACAACCACAGUGACUGCUCUGAAGACUUCCGGCAGCAACUUCCAUACAAAGAAGAUAAAUCUCAAAUCUCCUUGGAAUCUGAUUCUGUAGAGUUCAAUAAUGCAAUAAGUUACGUGAAUAAGAUCAAAACACGUUUUCUUGACCAUCCUGAAAUCUACAGAUCAUUCUUAGAAAUUCUUCACACUUACCAGAAAGAACAGCUGAACACUAAAGGCCGACCCUUUCGAGGCAUGUCGGAGGAAGAAGUGUUUACUGAAGUAGCAAAUCUCUUCAGGGGACAGGAGGAUCUACUCUCUGAGUUUGGACAGUUUCUCCCUGAGGCUAAAAGAUCUUUGUUCACAGGAAAUGGGCCAUGUGAAAUGAACAGUGUCCAGAAAACUGAUCAUGAAAAAAAUCUGGAACAUAGUAAAAAGCGAUCCAGACCACUACUGCUGCGUCCUGUUCCCAGCCCAGCAAAGAAGAAAAUGAAACUGCGAGGUACCAAAGAUCUGUCAGUUGCGACAGUGGGAAAAUAUGGAACGUUGCAGGAGUUUUCUUUCUUCGAUAAGGUGCGCAGGGUACUGAAGAGUCAGGAAGUGUAUGAGAACUUCCUCCGCUGUAUAGCACUCUUCAAUCAGGAGCUAGUGUCAGGCUCAGAGCUUCUCCAGCUAGUCACCCCAUUUUUAGGGAAAUUCCCAGAACUCUUUGCACAGUUCAAAUCCUUCCUUGGAGUGAAAGAGCUUUCAUUUGCUUCUCCGCUGAGUGAUCGAUCUGGGGAUGGAAUGAGUCGGGAAAUUGAUUAUGCUUCCUGCAAACGCAUAGGAUCCAGUUACCGGGCUCUUCCAAAAACCUAUCAGCAGCCAAAAUGCAGCGGAAGAACGGCCAUUUGCAAGGAGGUGUUAAAUGACACCUGGGUCUCGUUUCCAUCCUGGUCUGAAGACUCUACAUUUGUCAGCUCAAAGAAGACUCCCUAUGAGGAGCAGCUGCAUCGCUGUGAGGACGAACGAUUUGAGUUGGAUGUUGUCUUGGAAACCAAUCUGGCCACAAUACGCGUGUUGGAGAGUGUUCAGAAAAAGCUGUCUCGGAUGUCUCAAGAGGACCAGGAGAAAUUCCGAUUGGAUGAUUGCUUGGGAGGAACGUCGGAAGUGAUCCAGCGCAGAGCCAUCUACCGUAUCUACGGUGAUAAAGCACCAGAAAUCAUUGAGAGUCUUAAGAAAAAUCCGGUUACUGCUGUUCCCGUAGUUUUAAAAAGGUUGAAAGCAAAAGAGGAGGAAUGGCGGGAAGCCCAGCAGGGCUUCAACAAGAUCUGGCGGGAGCAGUAUGAGAAGGCGUACUUAAAGUCCCUUGACCACCAGGCUGUCAACUUCAAACAAAAUGACACCAAAGCCCUGCGCUCCAAGAGCUUGCUGAAUGAGAUUGAGAGCGUCUACGAUGAGCACCAGGAGCAGCAUUCAGAGGGGAGAGGUGCCACCACGAACGAGCCUCACCUCAUCUUCAUCUAUGAGGAUAAACAGAUUCUAGAAGAUGCGGCUUCGCUCAUUAGCUACUAUGGGAAACGACAGCCCACUAUCCAGAAGGAAGAUCAGGCCACCAUUCGGCAAAUAGUGCAUCACUUUGUACCGCAGCUGUUUUUCUCUCCGCUCCCGGACCACAGUAUUUCUGAAGAGUCGACUGAUGAGGACAGAGAAAACCAUCAGGGACAGAACCUGGAUGCUCCUGAGCUACGAAAGAAACAUGUGCCUGGGCCUCCAAGCAGCCCUCUGGAGGAGAAAGCUGGCUUCUGUGACGCCGCUGCUGCUGAGCCUCACAAAACUCUGGACGACGUUUAUAGUCUGUUCUUUGCCAAUAAUAAUUGGUAUUUCUUCCUCCGCCUUCACCAGACUCUUUGCUCCAGGCUCUUAAAGAUUUAUCGUCAGGCUCAGAAGCAGCUUCUAGAGUAUCGGACUGAAAAGGAGAGGGAGAAACUCCUCUGUGAGGGAAGGAAAGAAAAGUCCAAUGAUCCAGCCAUGGAACUGAGAUUGAAACAACCAAGUGAGGUGGAGUUGGAGGAAUACUACCCAGCAUUCUUGGAUAUGGUGAGAAGUUUGCUGGAUGGGAACAUUGACCCCACGCAGUACGAGGACACUCUGAGGGAGAUGUUCACUAUCCACGCCUACAUCGGCUUCACCAUGGACAAGCUGGUGCAGAAUAUUGUCCGCCAGCUUCACCAUCUUGUGAGUGAUGAUAUCUGCCUGAAGGUUGUAGAGCUCUACUUAAGUGAAAGAAAGCGAGGUGCUGCUGGAGGCAACCUAUCCUCCAGGUGUGUCCGGGCAGCCAAGGAGACCAGCUAUCAGUGGAAGGCUGAGCGCUGCAUGGCAGAUGAGAACUGCUUCAAGGUAAUGUUUCUUCAGAGGAAAGGGCAGGUGAUAAUGACCAUCGAGCUACUAGACACAGAAGAAACCCAAACAGAAGACCCUAUGGAGGUUCAGCACUUGGCUAACUACAUGGAACAGUACGUUGGGGUGGAGGGCGUCCCAAACAACCAGAACGAUGGCUUCUUACUGAAACCGGUCUUUCUGCAAAGGAACCUUAAAAAAUUCCGCAAGUGGCAAUGCAAGCAAGUGAGAGCUCUACGGAGUGAAGUGAAGAGUUCCUGGAAGAGGCUGAUCGGGGUGGAGAGUGCAUGCAACAUGGACUGCAGGUUCAGGCUCAACACCCACAAAAUGAUGUUCAUCAUGAACUCUGAGGAUUACAUGUACAGGCGUGGUACUCUCUCCCGAGCCAAGCAGGUGCAGCCCAUGGUUCUGCUCAAGCACCACCAGCAGUUUGAAGAGUGGCACAGCAGGUGGCUAGAAGAGAAUGUUACAGUGGAGGCAGCAGAACUGGUUCAAGACUGGCUCAUGGGCGAUGAGGACGAGGACAUGGUCCCGUGCAAAACAACUUGUGAGACGGUGAAUGUCCAUGGGGUCCCCGUGAAUAGAUACAGAGUCCAGUACAGUCGCCAUCCAGCCUCACCAUGAGCAGAGACUCGUCCCCGUGACCAUGCCAAGCAGGAGCUUUGCCGGCAAAACACUUUUACUCUGAGACUAGUGGUGGGAAUGCAAUAGCGUGAAAAGGAUCCUGGUUGAGGCAUGGAAAAUAUGUGGUCACAUGAGUCAUUCUGUAAUGGUUCAUAAAUCCUGGGAGAAUCGCAAAAGCAAAACAUCUAACAUUGCAUCUUCCCUGCCCAGUGGAACGCCACCUCUGGACACGCUCGGCCCAAGGAUGUGGGAAUAUGGCAAAAGCAAAGGAAAUAGGAUAAUUUUCUCCUUGAAAUAGAGGAAUCUCAUCAAACAGCAGCCAGGCUCGGAUUUGCAACCUUCACAGAAGAGGCCAUUCAUAAGAGAACCAGAAAGAAAUGAGCCAUCAGUCAUAUUGCCAAACCAAAUUCACAGUUCCUACUGCCAGGACUGUGGCUCCUGUGCUUAGGUCCUUGCUGAGACAGGCAAGCAAGAGCGUUGUGGUGGGGCAAGAGCCUCCAACCAUCACUGCUGCUCCUAAGACAGUGUCACCUAAUGUUGGGCUGUCCUCCUGCUUCACUGUCGUCCAUCUCACGGGAGGGUAAAGCAGUCCAGGCGGGGAUUUUGCCAUUUGUUUUGCAGCAAUCAGGACAUGAUCUGCAUUUAUCUGAAAGAUGUGGGAUGGGUUGGGGACUCCCCCAUAGAUGUGGGGUAAGGACUUGGCAGAGCACAGAGGGGGCUUAAAGUAUUGAACAGUGAAAGCGCUCAAGGCUUAAGUAGCAGAGGAAGGUCAGGGCUUGGGGAAUAUCUGGUGGGAAAUGACAGGGUCACGUGCUCUGGCAGAUCCCCAAAGGGCCCUUAUGCUACUGUAAAUGGUUGUAAAAUGGGUCACCCUCAUAGUAUUUUUAUCAUAUAGAUAGUAAUAGCCUUUUGUUCCUCCAGACCAUUCAUUAGCAGGGAAGAGCUCUUAGGCCUCCCUGCAGGUUUAUUGAGUAACGGGGCUCUGGAAGCACAGUUCCUUCCUAGGGGAGAGUCACUGACAUUCAGCUUUAUCUCCCCAGCUACAGAGCCAUCCUGUGAAUCCUUGUCAGACAGACACCAUUUCCUCUUUGGUGGGGCUGUGCUCAGCAUUCCCGACAAUUAUCAGCAGAAGCAUGACGCCUCCAUCAAACUCUGAGAUCAUGCUGCGGCUGUUUAUAUUUUACAGCACUUCGGGCUAGAGCUGACGUACUCAAAUGAAAAUAGCUCAUUGGGUUCACACACAGUUUUUCAGUAACUUGCUUCAGUAAACUCAGGAAAGGAGCCAGGGAGACCAAUGGCUGGCUAGCUCAGCUGGUUAGAGCGUGGUGCUAAUAACACCAAGGUCAUGGGUUCAAGCCCUAUGCUGGCCACUCUGUGUGGUGGAUGGAGAGGGUGGCUUCUGCUCUUUGGGGGAGAGAGAACUCAGUGGCUUGAGCAUUGGCCUGCUAAACCCAGGGUUGUGAGUUCAAUCCUUGAGGGAGCCAUUUAGGGAUCUGGUGCAAAAAUCUGUCUGGUGAUUGGUUCCCCUUUGAGCAGGGGGUUGGACUAGAUGACCUCCUGAGGUCCCUUUCAACCCUGAUAGUCUAUGAUUCUAUCCCUUCUUUAACCCGGAGCAGGUACAGACCUGACAAACAGCAGGGCCAGCUAACCAGCCUGGGAGCUGGUCUCACGUAGAACAUGCUGAAAACUAUCAACUCCCCUGAAAUGAGGCUGCAGCCUCAAUAAAACUCCAGGUGGCCACUCAGCCUGGGCUGGUUUGUGAGCAGGGCAAGGCCCUGCCUCUUGGGACAAUCUGCAGCCCUCAUGCUACACACGAGCAGCAUGUUACCUGCAGCUGAAGCAGGGCCCUAUGUGUGCUGGAUGACACUGAGCCACCAGGAAAUGUCAUGAAUCCAGAGGAGACGAGGCCCGGGGGCUAGUGUGCCAUGAAUGUAAACUUCUUUCUUCAGGCCUGGGAGAAAAGAUGGGAGGUGCAGGCAGCUGCCAGGGGCUGUUGCGAUAUCUGAUCCGGUUUGUAGGGGUUUAUAUUCUGAACUGACUCGGAGGUGGCCAUACUUGUCACUUCCAGGAAUAUUCUGGAGCAGGCCCAAAUUAGAGUAAUUUGAACCAGGAUUUAGCUUUGACAGUGAAAGACAGCCCUGCAGUAUCAAGAGCCAUGAGUCUGUCAGUAGCCUUUUGCUGACAUCAGAAAUGACUCUAUGCUCACACCGCACAGCACAAUGAGACAAACCAUUGGACAUAGACAUGGGCUGUGACCCAAGAACCCCUUAAUGGCAUCUGGCAAGGCACUUACAGGAAUCUCAUGAGGCUGGUUGUACAUUCUAGUUUACCAAAGAAUGUCAUGUGAGGUCUCAAAUGAAAAGGGGAGGAUCACAUUGGUUAUUAAUUUCAUUGUAAAAUAUAUGUACACAUACAAUGUAAGAAGUUAUGUAUAUAUACUGAAAAUAUGCAUCAAGGUAUCAGUCACCAGCCGAAGUAUAAAACCUAUUUCUGUCACACAAGAGAUGUUUAUGCAUCUGUCUCUUUGUCAGGAUGUAAGUUAAGCAUUGUAAACUAACCCAAUGAAUGCCUAUUUAUGUAUCAAAUCAACAGAGAUGUGACGUCAACCAGGAGGCAGCACACAAGAAAAAACAAGCCAAGUAUAGUUAUCCUGUCUGUGUUCAAAGACAAUGAACUUUGGGGGGGAGAGAGGGGAUAUGUAGAAGGCAAAGAAGAGGCCCUCCUCUCAUCCUGUGGGUAGGAGGUAAACACGGCACGUUUACAUUAAUGGAAAUGGGAUCUCAGCCAACCUAGAAGAAAACUUUGG